GAUUUUCAAGCAUAAGAAAAUAUCAGAUUUUCCGGAAAAAAAAAUCAACAAAUGCAAUAAAAAAUGAUAUUUCUCCUGAUUUGAUAAUGAUAUUACAUAUUGCUUUCACUCUCUGCUAUGGAUUUUUUUUAAAUUUAUUAUGGGGCAUUUAAUUGGCUGCCCUAUGUGGGUUUCACAGUUGCAUACAUCCCAACAUUUGGCAAUUUGUCUUGCAAGUUUUAUUGCCAUUCGUGACCAUGUAUCUUCACGAAUUAGGAUUUUCAAAGAUGCUGCGAAUUGGAAGCAUCGGAAUAGACUGGACAUCGAAGAUAGCAUGAAGUGUGUAUUGAAAACGACAGCUCGAAAGAUCAAAUUACUACCGGACUAGAUGAGAAAAGCACAAUUAUUACAGGAUGUGUUAUUUUGUUACAACGAUGUUUGUGACACCGGUUGUUAUAAAACAUGUACCGUUAGUAGUUAAAACAACAAAAAUUCUAACAAAACUCGUUCCAGUUAAAACAAAAAUAUUUCAAGUUGAGAUAUAAUCAUAACAAGAUUACAUCGAAUUUUGCUAGAUUAAACUUGUGAAAUCAUAACAAAAUCCUAACAAGUUCUGUUAUAUAUUUCAGAACAAAUUUGUACAAGUUUUGUUAUAAAUCUCUUGGCUCAAGUGUCCAAAAUAACACAAAUUAUCAAGAUUUUUCGCAACAAUACAAAGAAUAUUACAAACUCUAAGAUAAUUUUGUUUAAAAAAUAUAACAAAGAUUGCAAUAAACGUGUUACGAAAUUAUGUUAUUGGCAAUUAUAUUUCAAUGCAUGAUAUAACAAAUGUUGUUAUACAUUUAAUUUAGUAAAUUAAACAAGUUUUGAUAUAAUUUUGUUACUAAAAAUAUAACAAAUAUUAUUGUAAUUUUUUUAUGGAUAUUUACAUAGAAAAAUUCUUACAACAGAAUUAUAUCAACUUCUGUUCCCAAGUAACACACAUGUCAUAUAAGUGUUACGGCAGCGCAAAUUUUUGUUGUAUAAAAGUUAAUUUGACGCUUUGCUAACACUGUGUUAAAAUAAACUCAAAUUUACUUCUAUACAACCAAAACUUGCGCUGUCGUAACUCUUGUAUGACAUACGUGUUACUUGGGUUAUUUCUUACAACAGUUGUUAUAAUUUUGUUCUGAUCAUGUUAUGCGUUUCUGGUCGGAUAUAUAAGUUUGUACAGGUAUAAGUCUCGCAUUGAUUUUUAAAUCAGGUUUUUUUUUUUGCUUGUCGAUGACUAAAUAAGAUCAUUUUCCAAUAAAGUUCAAUCAUCCCGCUACAUAAUUUAUUCUUUUGAUACUCUUUGAUGAGAGGGGAAAUGAGAUUUGGGGAAAUCCAAAAGGGGUGCGCGGACUGUAUACGGUUGGAAACCACUGCGUUAGGCUUCUAACUCAACCUUACUUAUCGAACAGAUCAAAUGUCCAUGAAGGACAUCGAUUGUUGCUCACUUAACCCUUUGAAGCCGGAGGGGUCAAUAUGACUCCGGCGAUGAAACCGAGCAUAACAAACGUAUUCGAGGCCAGCGAGGUUGCGGCAGCAGAGGCGAAACUAUCCGGCUCCAAAGGGUUAAAGGAAAUAACAGUAUACUAUAGGUAUCUGCAUCAAAACAAUAUGAAAGCUCAAGCCACACCAAUUAAGGUGACAAAUCAUCAAGGGACUUUCUUUAAUGCCUAUUUAACUAACCUAGUUUUCACCUGGCACCCAAUCACGAAAGAUAAAAUAGAACACUACAAAUGUACAAUAAGAAACGUCACAAAUUUUCCAGAUACAAGCAUAACAUAAAUAUGAUACAAUGCAACACUAAACAUAACUUUACCCAGUUAUCUAAAUCGAUAACAAUUUCCGAUCUCAGGAUGACGAGGUUUCGCUUUAGUUUAGUUUUAGGACCAUCACUCAUCCUGGUAUUCAGCAUGACCAUGCUGAGGGUGACGGGUUCGAUUCCCGGUCGGUCCAGGAUCUUUUCGUAAAGGAAAUUUCCUUGACUUCCUUGGGCAUAGAGUAUCUUCGUGCCUGCCACACGAUAUACACAUGCAAAAUGGUCAUUGGCAGAGGAAGCUCUCAGUUAAUAACUGUGGAAGUGCUCAUAGAACACUAAGCUGACAAGCAGGCUUUGUCCCAAAGAGGACGUUACGCCAAAAAGAAGAAGAAGAAGACUCAUCCUGGAAUUGUGUAUGUAUGGCAGUUCGCCGUUUCUUAACAGACUUUUAUUCUGUGUUCAUAGUUUGGUUUUGUCUAGGUAAACUAAUCCUAACAGGGCCCCUGGGAUCAAGAACUCUUAGCAGCCGUCUACACUUUGAUGUCCCUGUUAGAGAACAGUUUGCUCGACUUUAAGAUUACCAUUGCCUAACAUGGACUGAAUAUAGGCAAUUAAAUAGUGGCUACAUUUCAUGAGCCAAUUUUAUUCCGCAACACUACAAACACUUAAAUGACGAACAAAUAUACAUUUACUAAAACAAAUAUAACUGUUGGGGCAGUUUGGUGGACGACGGAGUGGAUGAAAACAGUUUUGUAGUUGUUUUACUGAACAGCUUUAAAGCUAAAAUAUAUUUGUAAUGAUUAAUUUUCAUUGGAUAAAUUCAUCGAUAAGGAACUUACAUUUCUGUUUUCUCCAUAGACUAAGUACCGCUUCCCAACGUCUUCCAAACUAAUUAAUAUAGCAAACCAACAUUAUUUGCACUUACUACGUGCCAAAUUCGUUUGACAAAAUACCGCCAACUCGCUGAGCUAACAAUGAGGCUGAAUGUGCUCUAUAAACUAAAUCUUCUGCACAGGCUACAAUUGAUCUGUCGAGAGCACCGACACACAAAAGAAUUCCUGGUUGUUUCACCAUCUCGCUCGAUUGCCGCUGCACAGUGGUUGCGGCAACAAUAACAAGAAGGGGAUUCACUUAAGGUGAGUUUAUAACGAAGCCACACCUGGAAUUUCCAAAAGCACAAAUCUGAAGAACCGAGGGUUGGCUUGCGCUGAAAAGUUGAUCGAUUGGUCACCACCAGCGAGUCACCAAUCGAUCAAAUUUUCAGCGCAAUCCGUCUUUUGGUUCCUCAGAUUUGUGCUCUUGAAAAUUCGAGGUGUGGCUUCGUUAUAUAUUCACCUUAACAGCGUAAACCGCUUAUUAAAGUUUAUUCUGAUUAAAUGUCGCGAUCGCCAAGGCAAUCUUUGAUUAUAUCAUUUACAAUUUCAUGAAACAGGAAAUCAUGGCUUAAGCACUGUUUGCAGUUUAGAAGGAAUUUCUCAGCCUAUCUUGAUGCAUGAGGAAUUCCUUGCCUAAAUCGCUCAAGAAACCGGUUUUUCUUCGAUCGCAGUACGCAGUAGCGAAGAAAUGACAGUUCAAAUGGCAAUCACCGAAGAAAGUUUCUGCCAGGAGUCACUCAAGAAGUUUCUUGAGCGUUUCCUUUUGAACUCAAAACUGCGCCUUACGCAGCAAUUUAAACUGUUUAGUGAGUCCCCUUAAGGCGAAACUGGAAGCAUUUCCUCAUUUUUUUGGUUUUUGAUUUUUUAUUAAAUAACGAAGCAAUAUUUUCAAAAUCGGUUUUCGUGCACAUGUAGAUUAUGGAUCAGGGUAUCUUCUGAUUUUUUUACGCGGUAGAAAAUGUUUUUCGUUUUUGCAGAAACCAUUUUUUAGUGAAAUUUUGUUCAAAAACUACGGCCUUCGAGCGUUUUUAACCUUUCAACCUUCGAUCUUUCGUCCUUUUAUCCUAGUUAUUUUUUUCAUUUCGGCCUUUCGAUCUUCUGACUAUUUAUAUGUUUUUUUUUUUUCAUUUCGACCUUAUGACCUUUUGUCAUAGAUCCGUUUUAUGUGGCAGAUGGAUCAUUUGCGGGUCUGUGAUGUUUGUGUUCGCUGCAUUUAGACGAUCAAGGGUGUUGUAAUGCGUCCUGAGGCCGCUCAUCCGUGUGUUCAAUUUGUUCGUCGUCAUUCUUAUGUAGCAUGACGUACAAUCGUUGCGUGGUAUCCCGACUAGGGGAUCAUAACAAAAUUAUAUCAUAAUAUGUUAUUAUGUUAUACAGAGCAGGGAUGGGAACACUCACUUGCAAAGAGUUACACUCACUUGCUAUUUUCUCAGCCCAGAAGCGUGCAAUCAAAAAACGAUGUAUGAGCGAAUUUUGCCUUGUGGUUUUAUCUAAAAAUUUGCCAAAUAGAGUAGGGGUCGAACACGCAUACCAAAGUUGUAACAGAGCUGUGAAAGCGACUCUCCACGAGGUGAGUGUAAUUUACAUUCACCUUGUGGAGAAUUGCCUUCGCAGAUCUGUUACGACUUCGGUAUGCGUGUGCGACCACUACUCUAUUCGGCAAACUUUUAGAUAAAACCACAAGGCAAAAGUAGUCCAUACAUCGUUUUUUGAUUGCACGCUUCUGAGCUGAGAAAAUUGCAAGUGAGUGUAACUCUUUGCAGGUGAGUGUUCCCAUCCUUGAUACAGAGUUUUUCUAACAUAGGCAGUUAUAAUUUAGAUGCAGGAUGUUGUUAAAAUAACAAAAAUUGUAACUAAAAAUCAUAAGGGUUCUAACAAAAGUGUAUCAGAGUAUGUUAUAAAUAUAUCAAAAAUAUAUCAAACCCUGUUCUAAGUUUUUGAUAAAAUAAAUCAUAAUUAUAAUACAGUUUGAUAUUUUCAGUUAGGGUAAAAAUCAAAUUGGGUAAAAACUAAUCUUUUAUACUCAUUUUUGGGUAAUUAUUUUAAGUGUGUUAUUCUAUUUUUAGAAAAUGAUAGGUCACACAUAAAAAAACUUUCUAUGUAGUUCAUUAUAAAACUUACAAACCCGGACGGGAUUUGAACCAAUAAUCCUACCAUCGCUAAUUAUCAGUCGCCUUUACCAAUGAGGCUAUCACAGCACCUGAAGUGAACGAUGAAAGAAGCUUUACUGGUUCUACGUAUUGGCGGUUUCCCUAUUCCCCCAUCCCUUGUUUGUCAGACGCAGGACGAAAAUAGACAGAUUUGAAUGCAAGAUCAAACAAUGAACCUCUCUCUCUUACCAACAACGCUAUCGCGGUGCGAAGACAUGCGCACUGAAACAUUCAGAACAGUGGUGGCGUUCGCAUGGCCCGUCGUCGUUUGUUUCCAAGGAGCAAAGAGAAUGACAAAAAAAUACUAUUUAUGAUUGAGCUUCGUCAUGGGGUGCCUUUUGGAGGCGACAAAGGUGAUAUAGUCGUUAGUGAUUCUUUCCGGACGGAGAUGAUUUUAUUUUGUUUUUUCUUCGCGCUUUGAGAACGACGAUCAUACACGUACCUACGUGAGCGAAGGUAAAAUGUGGCUUUGUUUUAAUUGAUCACAGUUAUGUCAUAUGCAGAUAUCAUAACUUUUGCGGAUGCUAUUGAGUUUUAUUCUAUGUUUUAGAUUAUUUUUAGCAAAGAAAAGGAUGACAUAAUGUCACAGCAAAUAUAGUUGAAUGAUAAUAGGUCGAAAUAAAAAAGUUCGAAUAGACAAAUGCAGUGAUCAGUUGAGCAGAUUUAGCAUUCACAUUUUUAUUUUUUAGAAUUACUUAAUACCACAUUUGCUAUCUCCACGCUCAAUAACAUUUAUAACUUCUUAAUACAUGAUCUGUUCGGUACUUUUUAACGUUAUAACUAGAAGUUAGAAUAGCAGUACUGUUAAAAUGACACACAAAUCAACUAUGCUUACUCAAUUUUGAAAUAAAUAAACUCAUGUUUGGGUUUCUUCAUUUUUUGUGUAGAUAUUUUACGUUUUGAAGCUACAAUUGCUACUUAAUUUAUAAGAAUUGGGAAUUGUGGAAAAGUGAUAGGAAUUUACACCGUAACGGUACUGGGAUAUUAAAUGAAGAAAAUACUUAGAUAAAACAUAUCAGCAGCUAUGAUACUAUAUUUACCCAAAAACUCAAACUGAAGCAUUGUAUAUAAUAAGAAAUGAGAAAGAGUCUGACAAAAUUUCUAGAAGGUGCAAUGCCUUGAUUUUUUACUUAAUAAUAUGAAGCAGCAGUCAAUAAACUUAAGAAGGUAAACUAUGUAAUAGUUAUAUCUGCGUUUUUUUUCCGAUUUUGACCAUAUUGGUCUCAUUUAAUCCAGAUUUAUUUUUUCCAUCAACAAAUCCGACAGAACCGAUCUGGUCACCGUGGGUUAAGGAAACCCCGAAUUGCUGUACGCAUGGUUUCAUACAAAGCAAUGAAAGGAAUUUUCCAUAGACCAGCUGCAAUAACAUAUCUGCCCAGCUUAUGCCUAUUCAACUAUUGACUUCAAAGUAAUCAUUACGGGACAUGUCGCCCGAGAGACCAUGUUUUUUCAAUACGUUGUACUUUUUGCAAUACCGCGUGACCCAACCGUUCUAUUAUUUUUUUACGCAUAAACAAUAACAAAUGCUUUCUUAUUUUAACGAGUCGAAGUUUACUUAAAUCGGUUCAAACUUGAAAAAAAAUAUGAGUACUUUUAAGAUUUGAGGGUACCCGGAUACGCUUCCGGCAUUCUGCGUAGUAAAAAAAAACAAGCAAAACUGCAAUCUAUCAACAGCACUUGAACGUUUUUCUUAAAAUUUUCAAUGAUACAGAAUAAAGCUGUUUCCCUAUAAGCGAGACACGCCACAUUAAAUGGCUAGACCUGUAUUGGAAGUUGUGAUACAUUCUGUUUUUACACGAUAGAUGCGUCCGCGCAUAAAAAGAUCGUGUAAAAAAAUCCCGUAAUUUCCAGAAAUCGUGCAAAAAAAAUCAAAAGACAGAUUUUGUACACGAUUAGCCCUCCGGCCAAAAUCGCGUAAAAAAUCGCGUGAUUUCAAGAAAACCGGGUAAAAAAAAUCGUGCAAAAUAAAAUCGCGUAAAAAAGUCGUGUAAAAACAGAAUUAAGUGUAAUUCGUUUUUUGUCCAUUCGGCCUUUUUUUCCUUUAAAUCUUAUGUUCUUUAACCUUCUAUCCAUUGACCUUUUGCCCCACAAGCAAUGAAAAAACGAAUACAUAAUCAAACAUCUUAUUUUUUUAAAUUAUCAUCAAAUCUUAUUAAAAUUAAAAUUAAUUCAUAUUCUGAUAUAAUUAUGUUAUAUUUGAACUGAUCAUUUUAAUCAGUUGUAAAUAUAACAAAGUUAUAACCGAGUUUGUUCUGAAUUAUUUAUAACAAAAUUAAUUACAAAAGAUUAUAAUAUAUUUUGUUAUAAUUCAGUUUGAAAAAAUAAUGAAGAGCCCAUGCCAUAACAAAAUUAUAACAUAAUUUGUUAGUUAUAUCACAACAAGAUAUAAUUAUGAUAUAUUCUUGUUAUGAUCCUCUAGUCGGCAUAUGCUUGUAAAUGAUGUUUGUUUGUUGUCUUGGGGGGAUUGAAUCUUUGAUGUUUGUCUAAAGAUUUGUUUGACUGUUUUUAUGUUGUAGUUUGCUAGUUUGACGUGUCUGUAGUCAUUUUUCAGUUGUUUGUCGAUUUUACUUGCCGAUAAUCAAACUUUUUUUAAUAUUUGAAUUUUUGAGUAGUAAUCAUAUAACUGGUUGAUGGUUUCUUCCAUUUGGAAGGAAACAAGUUGAUGCUUCAUAUAAGCACAGAGAACAGACAUUCAAGUCCAGUUCCGAAACUGUGUAAGGAAUGUAACGGCCAUUUGAAAUCGGCAACACUAGUGGCAAUAGCGUAGCGCUGCAAUCGGUUAAUUUCCCAUACUAAUUUAAUUCCCCACUUGAAAUGUUUCAAUUCACCACUGACUGUGGCAAUAUGGUGUUUGGUGGCGUUAGUGUUGUCAUAGUGUAUUGGUUUGCAACCAUACUCAAGUAAAGAUUCAAAUCCUUACACAACUUUCCGAAUGAAAUUUGUUGUAGCCUGGAUGUCUGUUCUCUGUGAUAUAAGUGCCAAAAAGUGUGUAUUAUGAAAUGUUUCGUGAUUGAAAUUGGACUAUGGAAAUACGUCAACUGGAUAAUAACGCAUGACGGGCCGAUAUCCCUUUCGUGACGAACCAGCACAAUUGUGCUGUUGAGCGGUAGCAGUUUUGCAUAUUUUUAUCAUCUGUUAAGACUUUGUUUUACGUUAUGUAAACUGUUUCAAUAAUUCAGCCAUUACUUAUACUUGUUUAUGUGAAAGUAAACUUUUGUUUACGUUGCCUGUGUGAUUUGCCACCACAAGGUAAACAAAAAGUGGACAAAAACCGUAAAACAUGAAAAAGUUUUGUCUGUCGCAUAAUUUUUAUUAACGAUUUGUCUAUGUAGUCAAAGCUAGAAAUCGAAAGAUAAAGAGUAGUUCUUUCAAAUGAGGUAAAAUAAUUGUUGUUUUGUUGGGAAUUCUUAGAAUUCUGGAGAGCCAAAGUUGAGCUAUUUGUAUGGGGAUGUAAUUUUUUUUGCGCUCCGUCACGAAAGGGAUAUAGCCACAGCUGUAAGGGCGUUGGUAUUCAGCAUGGGGGUGAAACGCGAAGCAGCAAAAUUCGGACAAAUUGUCGAUUCAGUGUUGUUAUGAAAUUGAUGAUGAACUAAACUGCCCAUAAUCGCAUAACAGUAACAUUCGACAGAAGUAGGCAUUGGAGAAAAUGGGAUUAACUCCUAAACUACCAAGGGUCCAAAAAAAGUCGGAAGUCCAACUUUGGCAAGGCAUUUCUCGGCCGUUUUACAACCGAUUUCAAAACUUUUUUUUGCGAUGGAACCGGACAGGUUUCAAGAUCGUUGUCCAUUUAAAAAAAUAUAAAAUAGAUGCGUCUACCCAAAGUUAUUAAGCAAAAGGCACUUCCUAGUUUUUUUGAGAGCGCAUUUUUUGCGCACAUUGAUCAAUAAAACAAAAUUUAAAGCGAUGACAUAUGGUUUUUUCGACUCUAAAUCAUGCGUACAGCUGGAGUGAACAUGUUUAUGCAAAAUUAGUGAUUUUUCAGUACACUUAUAAUUUACCUUACUCAAAAAACUGCUAAAAACCCUAUUUUUCACAUAAAAUAAGCAAUAAAUCAAAAUUCAAAGCGAUGACAUAUAGUUUUUUUGGUCUUAUAUUGUUCGUAGGAUUGUACUUGACAUUUUUGAUGAACAAUGAAAAUGUUCUAAUUACACUCUUAUUUUGUUUUACCCGGAAAACUACGAAAAUUCCAUACUUUUUACACAAAGUAGUCAACAAAACUAAAUUUAAAACGAUAACAUGUAGUUUUUUAGCCUUGAAAUGUUCGUAGCAGUUUGGGGGACAUACUUGAAGAAUAAUAGUGAUGUUUUCAUUACACUCAAAUUUUGAUUCACUCAGAAAUCAACGAAAGUACCACAUUUUUCACACAAAGUGCUUAACAAAAAUUAUGGCUUACAAUGCAAAGUAGUUUUUUUACCUUUAAGUUAUUCGUGAAAGCGUACUGGACGUUCUUGAUGAGUAAUAGUGACGUUUUCAUGACACACUUAAUUUAUUUUACUCAAAAAGCUAAAAAAAUCCAUAUUUUUCAUACAAAACAGUCAAUAAAACAAAAUUUAAAGCCAUAACAUGUAGUUGUAUGGCCUUAAAUUUUCUGUUACAAUAUACUGAACCUGUUUUUGAUAGAAUGUUGAUGUUUACAUUACACUAAUAUUUUGUUUUAUGAAAAAUGUACAAAAAUACCACAAAAAAGCGAAUAAGCUAAAAUUUAAAGCAAUGAUAUGUAGUUUUUCAACUUUGAAUAUAUUGUACUAGUUUAGUGGAUUCAUUUGAACAACCUUAGUGAUGUUUUUAUUACACUCAUAUUUUAUAUCACUCAAAAUACUAGGAAAAUACCACAUUUUGCACACAAAGUAGUCAUCAAAUAAAAAUUGGAGUCAAUGCAUUAUAGUUUUUUUUGCCAUGAAAUUUUCUGUAAAAAAGUACUAUUUAGACUUGUUUGAUAAACAAUAGUGAUCUUUCAAUUACACUCGUUGUUUUCUAAAUUUGUUUAUAAAAAACAAAAACAACUCAAAAAAAGAGAACUUACUAUGCGCAGCAUAUAGUCACAUGUUGAUGUAACUAUUUUUGAUAGUUAAAAGCACUGAGAUUUUCACUCAGGUGGAGUACUGACUCAAUUUGUUAUUUAUCAUUUUAUAAAAUUCUUCAUCUUUUUAUACAAUAAAUUAACCUAACAUGUUUCAUACGACUUUUUCCAUCAUGUUGAUACUCUUUGCGUUGCAAUCUGUAAUAUUUUUUGGGAUUUUAUAUGUUUAUCAGAGCACAUGAAAAAAAAAAAAAUAUUGGUCACCCAAAACAAUUAAAACUGUCCAAUCCUUACAUUGCAAUUAUAACUGAGACACCAGUACUUGUUUUAAAAUUAUUAAAUCAGGAAAAAUACAUGGAAUAAUAUAUUAGGGAAUUUAGAAUAUUAUCAUAUUUUUUCAGAAAUCUCUUAUUUUUUUCCUUUAGCAUUUUCGAAGCUUUCUCCAGUCCUUUCAAGUUUCCAUCCUAGUUCUCAUGCAUAGUGUUUUUCUUUUAUUUGCUCUCAUUAGUAGUUCCUUCCGUGGUUUAUUCGAUAUUUUUAGAUAUUUCCGAUAAUUCCUUCUGGAAUUUCUGCCAAAGAGUUUUCCGAUAUUUCUCCUGAAUUUCUUCGCUGGUUUUCAUCCGGAGUUUCUCCCGGGAUUUCUCUUAGAGAUUUUCAGAGUUCUUUCGUGAAUUUUCUAAAUAUUUCGUACAAGAGCUUUUUUCCGAGAUUUCCCAGUUCUUCUAAGGAUUUCUUCCGAAGUUUCUCUCGCGUUCCUCAUUGCAUAAUUUCUCGCAAAAAUCACGUGGAUUCAUUCCGACAUGUCUCCGGUUAUUUACAACAAUGAAUUUUGUAGGUCUCAGGCAGAAGGUUUUCCGAGAAACACUUCUAGAAAAGUACAGUACUGGACGCGUUGACCGAUUUUCAUUCAAAGUGCUUAAGUUUGGAGCUCUGUAUUUCAGCUUCUAGAGCACAAACUCCGAGAAUAAUCUCAG